UUUAUGGAGAGUUUGAUCCUGGCUCAGGAUGAACGCUGGCGGCGUGCCUAAUACAUGCAAGUCGAGCGAACGGAUGAGAAGCUUGCUUCUCUGAUGUUAGCGGCGGACGGGUGAGUAACACGUGGAUAACCUACCUAUAAGACUGGGAUAACUU
rnacentral:rRNA from 1 species